AAAACUCAGGUUUUUUAUCAGCGUUUACUAACCAAACCAAAAAUACCCCUCCCCAAAUACUACAAUUGAUGAAAUGUCCAACUAUCCAAGAAACCUGAAGAGGAAUUUGAACAAGAGCUACUACAAUCCCAACCAAACAAUAAGGGUUAAUCAAUAGUAAACUAAAGGGAUGGUACGAAGACCAGAAGUAGAAAAACCAGAGAUAAACUAGAGAAUUACAGGAAUUUGACAGGAAAAGAUCAGGGGGGAGCAGAGUGGGCCGGUCAGUCCUGGAAAUGAAUGUUUUCCUGGUGUGAGUAGUUGCGUGUUCCCUCCAAGUGUGUAUUGGUGAUUGGAUCCGGCGUCUUCCUGUGUUAAGAUUUGCAGGAUCUUUUGUGUGUUCAAGAGUCUGACAGCAAUGAACCAUAACAAACUAUUUCCUUCUAGUUCAGUGCUAGAUUUAGGGCUGCGGUGGAAUUUGGUUGUGUUGGACAAUGGUUAUAAAACAAUCGAUGAAUUAUGCACACGCUUUAAAAGCUCUCUAAAAGCUCUUUAAAGUUAAUAUUUUUCACGUUAAAAAAACAUUCAAAUUGUGUGUUCAUAUAUUUGAUGUUAGUCAUUUUUGUGUGUAAAAUGUAGCUGAUCUGCAGGUUCUCACAUCAAUUUUCUAAAAGUUUCUAUUUCUAAUUCCGCUCUUUCUCCUUCUAAAACAUGCAGAUAUUUGUUAACUAAUCCUAAUCACAAAAGUUAACAAAACCAAACAUUUGUAUUUUAUGCCAACCGAAAUUAGCAACAUAUUUUUUAUACCAAACUGCUAAUCAACGAAACUCCUAAGACAGGGCUGAUCAUUUUUAAAUUAGGACAUAAAUUGUACUAUUUUUAUAUUUAGUGUGACAUUUCUUGAAAUAUAUCUCAAAGGCAACAUUGGGUUUGAAUGAGACAACCUUAUUAAAAAAUAUGAGGAUGCUUAAAAGAUGGUAAAAUGCAAUUAUGUUUAUAUAUGUAUAUAUAUAUUCAUUUUUUUCACUGAAAAAUGUUUCCAAAUGGUUAAGCUUAACUCUUAACCUUUCCCAUUCAUUCUUUAUGGUAGUUCUUAACACUGCGGGUGUAUUACACUUUUUCACCACAAGCGAUAUUUUGGGGGCGCUGUUUCCACAUCGCCUUAGUAAUAAGGCGAUAGCAUACAGAAAGAGAAAACAACAAGUUUGCGGUCAGAUUAGAUCCGAUCGCUGUUAAAACACAAGAGCACAAGUUAAAGUCUGAUGUAAAUAAAAUAAAAAAAAUGACAGGACAAAGUUUCUAAUUUGAAGACAUUUCACUUCCCGUCAUUGUUGAACAUGAGGACUGAAACUCCAGCGGUGAUAACAGCUGGGAUGAGAGGAAGGUCUUCAAACUUUGUCCAGUUAAGUGUGUGUGUGUGUGUGUGCGUGAGGUGAACAGGGGUUACAUUACAUUUUCUAUGCUAUUUUUAUUAUGCAGGGGUUACAGUAUUUCAUUCUGCAUUUGAUGGAUUAUAUAUAUAUAUAUAUGCAGGUAUGUUGUAUUGCAGGAAUAUGCAAAAUUAGAGAUCUGAGAAACUAUUUAGCUGAAAGAUCAGUGGAGCCACCUUCAAGCAGUGAGGACAACCAGCUGGUUGGAUUUGGUGUGCAUUCUAAGAAGACCUGGAGGGACGUCUGGGAGAAAAGAGAAGAUGGAUAUGCACCAUUUAUCCUCAGGAAACAGGGGGUUUCAGACGCUAAAAUGUCCUCCAGCAGUACCUGAAGACAAAAGAGGCUCAGACUCAGAGUUCUGCAGAACCUGUUCUUCCUAAACCUCCAGGUCUGUGGCAGACUAGACGUUCAUGCUGACGUUAGUAAACAUGCUAGAAAUGAUGUCUCCCAUCUUUUCAGUGUCGUCUUUAGAGAUGGAAGACGAUGAAGAGUUGGAGAGAAUGAUGCUGUCUGUCUCUCCAUCCAAACUCCUCUCUUUACAAGGUAAAACUAAAUCACACACAAGUACACACCGAGUGUGAAUGACUACUUCCGAUUCCAACCUGAUUGUUUUACUAAAGAGCAGGGAGAUGCAGUGAAGAACAUGACAGGACCAACAUGUUUACCGACAAUCCCAACCCAACCAAGUGAGCAGCACCAACGUGCACACGUCAUGCAUCACGUGUUAUGUGUCUGUAUGCAGAAUAGUAGUACUUGUAGUUGUAAAACAGAUAGUAGACUACAUGUUAGUAUUAGAUCAGUCCUUUCUUUACACUAAGCACUUUUAAACGUGUCUGUUCAAAUACAAACAUAUUCAUAUGUUUGCUUUAUUUUUUCUUUCAGGUUCAGUGAGUAUAGGUCUAGCCGCCGCCGCCGCCGCUGUAAACCAGGAUCACCGUUUCCUUUCUUCUGUUUGCUGGUCGGCCACGUUCUGCUCUAAUGCAGGUGUUUUGUUUGAUUGCUUUUGUGAUGCUGAUGGUAUUCAUUGUUCGUCGUCGGGGGUAAAUACAGAAUCCUUUUAUUUGCAUGGGUUUGGUAUGAAAAUGAUUGAAAGAAGCCCGUCUUAAAGAAGCAGAAUUACAACAAAAGUACACGUCUGAACACGUCAGAGUAAAGUGGUUACACAUGGAUUAUUACAUCAUAAUGGUACUUUUCCUGGUCGAUCAAAAGAUUAAAAAAAAAUGAAACUAAUGAUUCAUUAAUGAUUUUCAUACCACCGCUGUUCUAUUGAGCAUGUUUUCUUACAUGGUUUUGAGUGUUUUGCACAAUUACUACCAAAGAACUGUAAAUGAGUUGGGCUUUAGUGAUGGAUAUGUGUGUUUAUCUGAAUCCAGACCAGCCUGAGAGGUCCAGCUGUCCUGCUGCUACACAUGCAGGUGAGUGUUGAGGAUCAUUUGUCAGCUGUGCUGCAGCGUCCUGCCUGUUUCUGACUGUCUUUUUUCUUCUGCUCCCGUGAAGACUCCUCUGCUUUGGAACUGUCCCAAAGUAGAACGGUGCCAUCUUUAAGAAGAGUGCAGGAUAAAACCUACACAGUCGUUGGAAGAACCUCAGCUCAGUCUGCAGCUCCUCCUCCUGCCCACUUUCAGCCAACGCCUGCUGCUCCACCACUUCCAUGCUGUGACCCAGAUGUCAGCAGCUGGAACUGCUCUCCCCAGCAGAGGAUCUGGAUGAAACCACAGAUGGAAGCCUUGGGACUGUGGCCUGGGUCUCCACCUGUGAGUCAUGCCAUGAACAUGAUCUCCUUGGGGCAUAACCCACCUCAGAACAUCCUUAACUUUUGGAGACCCAGCAGCAGCUGUGGCAUUAGCUCACUGAAGGAAGGGAAACUGUCACUGUGCCAGUUGUGACUCUCCCACCUGCUGCAGUGAAACCCCCCCCCCCCAGCAUUGAAGCUCCUCUAACUAAGACUGUCGUUGAACAAACAGUGAAGGAGAUUGUAGGUAUGCAGCAGCAACAGCAGAAACCUUGGACAAAGACGACACACAACUGUCUUUACCUCGGUGAUGGAUCUUCUGUUCAUUUCUGUUAUCAGUCUGGGGAUGUGAAAUACCUCCACUGCUCCCAAAACUGACUCCAGAUCUAUGCAGCGGAAGGCCUUACCAACCCCCCAGGAUUGCAUUUGCAGACUUUGCUGUCACGCCAUUUUUUGACAGAGGUAAAGGCAGCAUUCAUGGUCACACACACUGAUUAUGACAGGACUCCUCAUGUUAUCCUUCAAUGUGAAAAUAUUUGUAACUUAGUUUGUGAAAUCUAUUUUGUGAAAACGGUUUUCUUACAUUUUUAUUCUUGAAUUAUUUAGUUUUGAUAGAAAAAGCAAAAUGUAUUUACUCCUUCCUCAAUUCAUUUUACAAAUCUUUAAAGUGCUUGUAUUAAUUUUUUGCAUGUUUAAAUCCUUCUGCCCUUUAGCUGUAAACACACGGUUGAACAUGUGGAUACAUUUUGUGUUGAAUACUGUUUAUUUAUUUAUUACAUCUUAAUUUCUUUAGCUUAACAAAAAUCACAUUUAUUAUGCAUUUUCCAAAACGUCUGACUGACUUCACUAACCGGGGUUCGAACUCAGUACCAAAGGAUUUCAUCACCUUGGACAGCGUUACACAAGCUGCAAUUUGAUUGGCUGUUCCGUGUUACAGGUAUAUACGGCUGGCGUGAGGCGAACGUGAUGACCACUACACUACGGAAACGGCUCGUACCGCCGCGCUCUCACAUUCUCGCCCUGUAUGGUACGUCUCAACGCUACGGUGGUGAUGAACCGCUAGAGAGAUUUAGGUGGCGCUGAUAAAACACAAGAGUAAUCUCUUUGAUUCCAAGUCAAAAAAACAUAAAUGUAAUAUUUACAAGUCAAAGUCUGACGUCUUUAAAAAAAAUAUCAACUGGACAAAGUCACUUCAUGUCAUUGCUGGCCAUCAAAGGACUUUUACAGUUCGGUCAUUCACUGGUAAAUAAUCGUGUACAAAUGAAGACAAAUCAUCCGUAGAGAAAAUGGUCUUUAUUGGUUUUGUGGAAACAGGUUUAUAGUUUGCACAUACAUCUAACAAGCGGGUCAAACCGGUCCCACUUCAGAGCAUCUUCAAACACGGUUUUUCAGAUUUUGUUGAUAUUAAAAGUUAAAUUCUUCACAGACUAUCAGUCGUCCUAAGAGCAUUUUUCCUCCCAAAAUGUCCAAGUAUUAGCCCCCCUCCAAAAAAGAAAAGAAAUUAGGGAAAAUGUAUUUUCAAAUAUAAAUUAAAGAAAAAAGAAAU